rnacentral:lncRNA from 1 species
UCAACUUUACCCUCCUCAUCCUUCUUUUCUUCCUCGUCCUCAUCAUCAGAAAUCUCCUUCUCAGUGGUCUUCUCAAUCCAGAGGGAAAUUGGGUAACUAAUGAACUCAGAGUGCUUCUUAAUCAAAUCCUUCAAACGGCGCUCCUCGAGGUACUCAAGUUGGUCUUCCUUGAGGUGGAGAGUGAUCUUUGUACCGCGGCCAAGAGGCUCACCAGAAGUGUCCCUGGUAACAGUGAAUGAUCCACCGGCCUGAGACUCCCA